GCACUGCAGUAAUACAAUGGAAGAUAUUAUGAACUCAGACUGAGGAAUCAGGGAGAACUUAGGGAGCAGGCAACAUUCCAGAAAGGCUUAAAGGGUGAAUAGGCUAUUUUUAAGCAGAUAUAGGCGAAUGAAAUUCUACACGGAAGAAAGAGAAUGACUGAAAGCACAGAGGUACAAACAGGAUGGGGAAAAGGAGGCAAGCAAGAGAAAGUGGUAGAGAGCUAUCAGAGAACAAGAGGACAGAGAGUGUUAUCAAGUCAAGUGUGCUGACAACUACAAGGACAAGUUACCUGUCUUUCUGCUGUAUGCCAAUUAACAAAGAAAUCAAGCUCAUUUUGGAUUUUGGAAAACAGCUCACAGGAAACAUCCUGACCAGACCCACCUGUGAAUGACCACAGGAAGGAAGAAAUGGAACACAUUCCCUCUGGAGUCUGACUGGAACCAGGACUUUACCCCCCCUCCUUUUUGAAAUAAAAGAAACCUAUAUUCUAACCCAGGGAGGAUGGUUUAGGGUACACUAGUC